AUGUCCUGUGGUGUCGUUUUUAUAGGAAAGCAACUCGAUUAUAAAAGCCGAACAUAAGCUAUAUCGGUCUCACAAACACUUCUCCUCGAAAAAUAACUCAUUUAUAUACCUUAAACACUCUCAAACUCGUUUUUCCGGCGAAAUCUAGUUUGUCUCCGGAGAAGUUUCUUUUCCGAUGAACUAGUUGAAGAACUAGUUGAAGAAGAAGGCUUUUGAGAAGUGUCUUGUUGAAAUCUAAGAUUUAUUUCAAUUUUGUGAUCAUCGUUAAAGGUACGGAUAAAAUCCUUUCUUUAAUUUGAUACAUGUCAUUUGACUUUGGGCAUCUGAAUCCUGUGGUUAUUUAGAAAAUGGUUUAUAUUAUUUUCAUGUUUACAAAUUACGAGUUAAAUAUUUCAAGGGCUUACAUAUUGCAAGUUAAUAAAUUACAAGUUUAAGAUUACGUACAAUUAUUGUGUUACCUAAGUCAUUGUGACCCAUCAUUGUGGCAUAAAAUGAUGUGGUACCAUACGUGACAGCGAGUUGAGUUCACGGCGUCUCUUCUGUUUUAGUCUACGGACUUCUGUUCAGAGACGUAUGGAUCAAUCCUAGGAAAAAGUAAACAAACUCUGAUAUCUGGUGAAUGGUCGGUGUGAUUUGCCCACAUUCCGUUCAUGUCUGGAUGCAUGGGCUAGCUACCCUGUAUCACCUCUAUAAAUAAAAUAAACCUUCUAGACUUCGGGUAAAUCUGUAUAUCAUAUUCUUCCAAACCACACUUGAGUUCCCACGGAGUACAGCCCUCCAGCAGGUUUGAUAUAAAAAACUUAGUGACGUUCCUAAUGCCUCCACCACGAGGGUCGGAACCGAAACAGCCCUCACCGUCCAUUUGGCACUCCCUCACAGAUUUAUGAAAGGUUAAUCGGAUUCGUAUCGAUCUAGCUCUAUUGCAACUGCAGCCGCGAUCAAUGACAGACCAACUAAGCAAUCGAAAUCCGGAAACGGCCAAAUGAACUACUAGAAUAAACCACGAAAAGAACGUUCCAAAGACACUCUAACCCACAGCAAUGCUAACAGUGCUCGUACCACGUAGCGAAGACCAAAUCAGCCACGCAAUAACAGGAGAGUUAUACAAAGUCGGGACCAGACUGCCGGAAAAAUGAACAACCGGGG
rnacentral:lncRNA from 1 species